rnacentral:rRNA from 1 species
GACGAACGCUGGCGGCGUGCCUAAUACAUGCAAGUCGAACGGAAAGGCCCUGCUCUUGUGGCGUGCUCGAGAGGCGCACGGGUGAGAAUCACGCGUGUAACCUGUCCCUGUCAUUGGGAUAAAACCUGGAAAAUCGGGCGCUAAUAGCAUAGGAGCUCUUGAAGCACAGUGGGGGAUGGAAAGAUACGGCGGUGCGGGAUGGACUCGAGGCUUAUCAGCUUGUUGGUGAGGUAGUGGCUUACCAAGGCUUCGACGGGUAGCCGGCCUGAGAGGGUGACCGGGCACAAUGGGACUGAGGUAGGGCCCAGACUCCAACGUGAGGCAGCAGUGGGAAAUAUUGCACAAUGGGCGGACGCCUGAUGCAGCGACGUCGCGUGCGGAAUGACGGCCUUCGGGUUGUAAACCGCUUUCGCCUGUAACGAGGCGUGAGUGACGGUAAUGGGUAAAGAAGCACCGGCUAACUACGUG